rnacentral:rRNA from 1 species
AUUGAACGCUGGCGGCAGGCUUAACACAUGCAAGUCGAGCGGGGGGAGGUAGCUUGCUACCUAACCUAGCGGCGGACGGGUGAGUAAUGCUUAGGAAUCUGCCUAUUAGUGGGGGACAACAUUUCGAAAGGGAUGCUAAUACCGCAUACGCCCUAAGGGGGAAAGCAGGGGACCUUCGGACCUUGCGCUAAUAGAUGAGCCUAAGUCGGAUUAGCCAGUUGGUGGGGUAAAGGCCUACCAAGGCGACGAUCUGUAGCGGGUCUGAGAGGAUGAUCCGCCACACUGGGACUGAGACACGGCCCAGACUCCUACGGGAGGCAGCAGUGGGGAAUAUUGGACAAUGGGGGGAACCCUGAUCCAGCCAUGCCGCGUGUGUGAAGAAGGCCUUUUGGUUGUAAAGCACUUUAAGCGAGGAAGAGGCUACCGAGAUUAGUACUCUUGGAUAGUGGACGUUACUCGCAGAAUAAGCACCGGCUAACUCUGUGCCAGCAGCCGCCGUAACAC